rnacentral:rRNA from 1 species
CCUAACACAUGCAAGUCGAGCGGAAACGAAGAGGUGCUUGCACCUCUGGCGUCGAGCGGCGGACGGGUGAGUAAUGCUUAGGAAUAUGCCUUAUGGUGGGGGACAACAGUUGGAAACGACUGCUAAUACCGCAUAAUGUCUACGGACCAAAGUGGGGGACCUUCGGGCCUCACGCCAUAAGAUUAGCCCAAGUGGGAUUAGCUAGUUGGUGAGGUAAUGGCUCACCAAGGCGACGAUCCCUAGCUGGUUUGAGAGGAUGAUCAGCCACACUGGGACUGAGACACGGCCCAGACUCCUACGGGAGGCAGCAGUGGGGAAUAUUGCACAAUGGGCGCAAGCCUGAUGCAGCCAUGCCGCGUGUGUGAAGAAGGCCUUCGGGUUGUAAAGCACUUUCAGUAAGGAGGAAAGGUUAAGUGUUAAUAGCACUUAGCUGUGACGUUACUUACAGAAGAAGCACCGGCUAACUCCGUGCCAGCA